rfam:Caenorhabditis briggsae complete genome, chrI
CAACUCUGGUUCCUCUGCAUUUGACCGUGAAAAUCUUUCGCCUUUUACUAAAGAUUUCCGUGCAAAGGAGCAAAUACUGAGUAUUACUAUCAAUUUUUGGAGCCUCCUCGAAAGAGCGAGGC